GACGAACGCUGGCGGCGUGCCUAAUACAUGCAAGUAGAACGCUGAAGGAGGAGCUUGCUUCUCUGGAUGAGUUGCGAACGGGUGAGUAACGCGUAGGUAACCUGCCUGGUAGCGGGGGAUAACUAUUGGAAACGAUAGCUAAUACCGCAUAAGAGUAGAUGUUGCAUGACAUUUGCUUAAAAGGUGCAAUUGCAUCACUACCAGAUGGACCUGCGUUGUAUUAGCUAGUUGGUGGGGUAACGGCUCACCAAGGCGACGAUACAUAGCCGGCCUGAGAGGGUGAUCGGCCACACUGGGACUGAGACACGGCCCAGACUCCUACGGGAGGCAGCAGUAGGGAAUCUUCGGCAAUGGACGGAAGUCUGACCGAGCAACGCCGCGUGAGUGAAGAAGGGUUUCGGAUCGUAAAGCUCUGUUGUAAGAGAAGAACGAGUGUGAGAGCGGAAAGUUCACACUGUGACGGUAUCUUACCAGAAAGGGACGGCUAACUACGUG
rnacentral:rRNA from 1 species